GAUGAACGCUGACAGAAUGCUUAACACAUGCAAGUCGAUGGGGAAGUGGUGCUUGCACCAUGGUAACCAUGGCGGACGGGUGGGUAACGCGUAAGGAACUUACCUGCGGGACCGGGAUAACAGCAGGAAACUGCUGACAAGACCGGAUAAGGUCAUUAAGCUGCAUAGCUUAGUGAUGAAAGGAGACGCCUGCGGAGAGCCUUGCGUCCUAUUAGCUAGUUGGAGGGGUAACGGCCCACCAAGGCGAAGAUAGGUAGCCGGCCUGAGAGGGUGGACGGCCACAAGGGGACUGAGAUACGGCCCUUACUCCUACGGGAGGCAGCAGUGGGGAAUAUUGGACAAUGGGGGCAACCCUGAUCCAGCAAUUCUGUGUGCACGAAGACGGUUUUCGGAUUGUAAAGGGCUUUCAGCAGGGAAGAAGGAAGUGACGGUACCUGCAGAAGAAGCGACGGCUAAAUACGUG
rnacentral:rRNA from 1 species